rnacentral:misc_RNA from 1 species
AAUCUUCUUCAUCUGCCUUCCCCUUGAUAAUUUCUCAAAAUUCUUCUGGCAAUGCUAUCAUGGAUGCCAUUUUGAAGACACAGAAGAAUGCAAAGAUUCAAGUCGUUGAAGAUAUCCCUGACGGAAAAUAUUUGCAGGCUGAGGUUGACGGAGGAUUUGGCAGAGAUGUUUUAGAGUUUUUGGUGAAAGGAGAUUCAGUUGCCUACAGAGCAAUGGCGACAAAAGUGACCUAUAUAUACCCAUUUACUACUGCAUUUGGAGAUUCAAAAGGACAAGAAGAAAGAAUGGAAAUGAUUGCAGAAGAGUUAGGAUGGUAUGCACCAAGUCUUGACUCAAUGGAUUAGAACUUUGAUGCAUAGAACUAUCUACAUGCACCAAAUUUUGUAUAGCAAUUCAUGCAUGUGGUAAGUUUUUUUUUUUAAAAAAAAA